rnacentral:rRNA from 15 species
CGCGAAGGAUAACAGGUUCUUGAAUCCCAAGAGCUCCUAUGAAAGGAUUCUGAUGGCACCUACAUGUCGGCUCAUC